UUCGAAAAGUUGCACAGCGCCC
rnacentral:misc_RNA from 1 species